AUAUCUUGUGUGCCCCCUCACAAGUUCUUAUGUUAUUUCUUUUCUAGAUGUCUACAAAUCUGGUUUUGAAGAUCACCAAUAGUAAGAAACUGGUCUCUGUUUCUCUUUGUUAUUGAAUUGUGGCAGUGGUCCCCUUUCUGAUGGGUGGGUUUUAAUCUUCAUACUGAGCUGAAGACAGGGCAAAGCUGGUAUUGUUUGGGCCACCUGUUGCAUUUCAAAAGUGUUAGCAUGCCAUGUUUGUUGUUCUUCAGAUCUUCAACAUUUCGUGAAGGGGUCCGGACCUUCUGCACUCCUUCAGGGAGAAAUGCAGCUGUUGUUUAGUUCUAGCACUUGAACUGUAUUGGUGCUCAGCAUGCUGAGGUCUGGCAUUUAAAACAGCUGGCACCUUUGUCCUUGCUCAGUUCUCGUACUUGGUGGAUGCGGUUUCUUUAUUGAAGCACGGAAUUUGGACGGCUUUUGGGAGUGAUGUUGUGUUUCUAUAUGACAGUGUUUAUACAGUUUACUGUAAGAAUGUGUAUCUUAGGGGAUGACUGCUGUAGCAUUAUUGUGGGAAUGUUGAUAAAGAAUGGGGAGGGUGGGCCUUCCUUUUCAGCCACCGAACGACACCACCUUGAAAGAGCUGCUCUGCCCAUGCCAGUGCCAGUGCCUGCGCCCGUCGACACUCCAAGCACACCAUCGUCAUGGACAAAGUGGCCACCCGGCCACCAAGAUCACGCCUCGGGAGUCCGAAGCCAGCGAAGCAGCGAAACCCAUCUCACUCACCAGCACCCUUAGACAUGUAGCGGUUAAGCAGGCGUCCCCUGAACGCCUAAGAAGCUGCAGUCCGCUUACCUUCACGGUAGCAGAAAGGCCUUGGUCGUGGAUUUUCCUGGCCAGGGCGGCAGCCAAAGGACCUCGCUCAGUGCAGCUCCCAGGUCAGUUCAGGGUGUGCCCUUGCACCUUCAGGGUGUCGGGC
rnacentral:lncRNA from 1 species